rnacentral:rRNA from 1 species
AGAUUGAACGCUGGCGGCAGGCUUAACACAUGCAAGUCGAGCGGGGAAAUGUAGCUUGCUACAUUACCUAGCGGCGGACGGGUGAGUAAUGCUUAGGAAUCUGCCUAUUAGUGGGGGACAACAUUUCGAAAGGAAUGCUAAUACCGCAUACGCCCUACGGGGGAAAGCAGGGGAUCUUCGGACCUUGCGCUAAUAGAUGAGCCUAAGUCGGAUUAGCUAGUUGGUGGGGUAAAGGCCUACCAAGGCGACGAUCUGUAGCGGGUCUGAGAGGAUGAUCCGCACACUGGGACUGAGACACGGCCCAGACUCCUACGGGAGCAGCAGUGGGAAUAUGGACAAGUGGGGGGAACCCUGACUCCAGCCAGUGCCGCGUGUGUGAAGAGGUCCUUUUUGGUGUAAAGCUACUUAGCGAGGAGAGGCUAACCGUAGAUUAACUACCCGUGGAGUA